rnacentral:rRNA from 1 species
AUUGAACGCUGGCGGCAUGCUUUACACAUGCCAGUCGAAUGGUAACAGGCCGCAAGGUGCUGACGAGUGGCGAACGGGUGAGUAAUGCAUCGGAACGUGCCCAGUCGUGGGGGAUAACUACUCGAAAGAGUAGCUAAUACCGCAUACGAUCUAUGGAUGAAAGCGGGGGACCGUAAGGCCUCGCGCGAUUGGAGCGGCCGAUGUCAGAUUAGGUAGUUGGUGGGGUAAAGGCUCACCAAGCCAACGAUCUGUAGCUGGUCUGAGAGGACGACCAGCCACACUGGGACUGAGACACGGCCCAGACUCCUACGGGAGGCAGCAGUGGGGAAUUUUGGACAAUGGGCGCAAGCCUGAUCCAGCAAUGCCGCGUGCAGGAAGAAGGCCUUCGGGUUGUAAACUGCUUUUGUACGGAACGAAACGGCUCUGGUUAAUACCCGGGGCUAAUGACGGUACCGUAAGAAUAAGCACCGGCUAACUACGUG